rnacentral:tRNA from 3 species
AUUAAGAUGGCAGAAAGUGCCCAAGAUUUAAGCUCUUGUAAUGAAAUAUUAAUAAUUUCUCUUAAUA